CUUCUCCUUCACCUACCACUGGAACUGGACACAUGUUCUCUUUGUUUUUCUUGAUGAUGAUUAUUGAACUGAGAAGAAAUAAACAUUUCUAGUUUCAAGUAUCAUGAAAUGCUAUAUUUUCUCUGAGCUACUAAACACUAGCAUGUUGCACUAUAAGCCUAAAUUCCUAAUCAGAUAUCCUGUUUCUCCAGAAUAUUGUAGAAGAUUUAGUGUGUCAGAUAAUUAAAUGAGUAAUAAUGACAUGAGUAUAUCUUGGAGAAGUUCAUUAUAUUCAAUAAUUACCUGAUAUGCUUAUCAUAUGAUUCUAUAUAAUGGCUUACUCAUUGCUGCAUGAUAGUUUUCUGUUAGCAUUUCCCAUAAUUCCCACACUGAAUAGAGAAUUGAAUUUAUACUUUGUGAUGAAGAGCAAGACAAAUUAUGUGGAUUUUCUCUCAUGCCAGAUAUCCUCUACAUCUAAAGUUGUAAAAGAUCUCUGCAACUUCAUCAAUUGGCAGCUUCUUUUCAUCCUUUUUUCUCAUAGUAAUGUAUCUUAUGUUACUGAAAACCAUCUUCCCCUUUUGAAUGAGGCCAAAUAUGGAAGUGCAGUCCAUCAAAUAAGACAUCGAUGUGCGUAGGCUGAGAGGAUUUGAACAACCUACUUUCAAAUUCAUUUAUAUUGCACAGUCUCAUAUACAAGGCUGGUUUGGUAGAAUGUAUAAGGAUUCCACAAAUCAUCACUAUAGCUUAUGGGCUGGCAAUUCUCGUGGCACUAAAAUAUCUAGGUCACAUAUCAAUGUUCAAGUUCCAAACAAUAUAAGAGAUAACAUAUCAAAUAUAAAGUCUCAAGUAUUGAAGAAAGCGAUUUACUUGCAACGAAGUCACAGUCCACCAGGUACUUUGAAAAAUCUGCUGAUCUGAUGAUAGUUCAAAAUCCUACUCUGCUAAAAGAAGCGUUAUCUAUUAUUUUUGAAGUGGAACAAAAGUAUAUAAAAAAAAAUCGAUGCUUGACUUGAAGAAUGUUCAGGUGACAGAAUUUUCUGAUCUUAUUUUCUUGGCAUAAUUCAUGAAAAUAAAAGCAAAUGCUGGAGCCAGAGUGCAGGCAAGUGGCAAUACUACAGAUUAAAGAAGGAACAUCUGGAAUAGGUAAAAGACUGUGUCAUCAGAAAUGAGAUCUUUUCAAAAAUGACAAAGGAAGAGAAAUAUUUUACCACCCAGCUAAAUUCUGUUAGUUUCUUCGUCUGAGAAGGAUUCUAGUUUCUCUAUCUUAUACAAAUUCAUGCUUAUUGAUUCUGCUUAUUUUGCUCUUGCAGAUGAAACCAAAUAUUUGAAAUAAAGGUAUUUGUGGACUCAUUUUUAUGAUCUCAUGUUAGAUGGAUAGAAUAUUGAUUUGAUUGACUAAAAGCUAAAAAGAAUUAAUCACUAACUCUGGAUACGCUUGAUAUCAGAUAAUCUUAGUUCCAUAGGCUUUAAAAGUUUUCAGAAGGAGGGACUGAACUCUUACCUUAAGGAUUUCCAGAGAGGUAAGUUUGGAUUUUAGGACAAGUUUCCUACUUCGGAACCUGAUUCUGUAAACUAGUUUGCAUCAUGUACAUCCUCAUAUGAUUAAUUCUAG
rnacentral:lncRNA from 1 species